AAUUGUUUCAUUUGUAAUUAUGCCUUCUAUUUACUUGUUUAUCUUUUAUUAAAAAUUCAUAAUAUAUCUAUAUAUAUACGUAAUAUGCACCAUGUUAACAUUACACACACACAUAUAUAUAUAAAUUGCUUUGAAAUAAUAAAACUCGUAGCAAAUAAUUGGGCUGUCAGUUUAUCAUGUGUGUUACUAAUUAGUAGUUAAAUUCAAAGCAACAUGACAAGUCCUUGGAUGAGUGACUUGAGAAUACGAGAGAGGGUGAAAGAGAGCAAAAAAAAUACGAAAUAAUUUUAUGAAAAACAAAGUCAUAUUAUGUACAAUUGAUAUAAUACAUGUCUGUUUUUUUCAUAAAAAAAAAUUGAAUUACUAAUUAGUAUUAUGACAAGUGUUUUGUUUUAAAUUAUUUAUCAAAAAUUAAAAAUAGUUAUCAAGUAUAUUUACAGAACAUGUGCAAAAAUAAUCAGGUCAAUGAAAAAUUAGAUAAGAAUUUGUGAGAAGGAUGGAUUUUGUAUAAAUAUGCGAGAUUUUAUGAAUUAUUUAAAAAUUGAGAAUUCAUUAUUGCCUGAAUCAUAACUGUAUAUUUAAAAAAUUAUAAAAAUUUAUUUUGAAAUGGGAAAAAUAAUAUUCGCUAUUUUAAUAAUUGCUGUUAUGAUUGAAGCGUCCAAAGUGUUGACAAUUACAUCAGAAGAAUUUAAAAAACCAGAUGAUGAUUCACUUCAAACUUUGAGUUCAACAAGCUGUAGUAAAAAUACUAUCGAUGGUUGGACAAAAAAUUUUAUUUGUGGUGUAAAAUGUAUGAUGAUAGGAAGUAGAUCUUUCUAUUGUCAAAAUGGGGAAUGUCGAUGUUGGAAAUAAAAUCUAAUUUUAAUAUAAUUCAAUAUUUUUUUUUUUUUAUAUUGAUCUAUUUAUAAUAAUAAAUUAAUUUGUAUAAUUUUUUGCGUCUAAUAAUAUUUAUUUGAAUUUUGAUGGAGUGAGUGACAUUUGAAGAUAUUGAUUGAAGGAAAAUUUUAUUGAUUACUUAAAAAUAAAUUAACUGAUGCAAUCAGAUUGAGAUAAAAUUUAAUGUUUUUAUUUUUGACACAAUCUAAGUUUUUCCAUCAUAACAAGAUGAAACAGCAAAGAAUAAUUACGUCAAUAAAAAAUAAGAUAACAGCAAAAUCAUAACAUAACAAUGAAUUAAAUUUUGUAUAAAAGGUAGUGUUGAUAAGUCACAAAUCAAUUUGACUUAUUGGUCAAGUGUUAUAACAGAUAUAUUUCUUUGAAGAAAAAAAAAUGGCAAAGUUAAUUUUAUUUGCAUUUUUACUAGUGAUGGUAAUGGGAGUAAUGGGUGUACCAGAUGAAGAUUCAAGCGAAAUUGAUGGUCAAUUAAACAGUGGAACAAUUGAUAAUUUUCGAAUGAGAUGUAACCGUAUGACUAGUGGUGUUUGUGAACCAUAUUGUACAGAGCAAGGUUACAAAAAAAGUCAUUGCGAACACAAUUAUUGUCGUUGCACUAUGUAAAGUGUUUGUGUCUUUAUAAGUCAUUGUUCUUACAUGGAUUUAAUAUAUUAUCUAUAAAUGGAAACUAACGGAUAAUCUUUUCUUUUUAUCGUCAGUAUGAUUAAAUAAAAUUUUAAUUCUACAAAGAAUAUUAUUUGUUUGAUUUAUUGCCUCGGUAUAUUUUUAAA